rnacentral:rRNA from 1 species
GUGCCAGCCGCCGCGGUAAUACGUAGGGGGCGAGCGUUGUCCGGAAUUACUGGGCGUAAAGGGCGUGUAGGCGGUUGGAUAAGUCCGGUGUGAAAUGCUUUGGCUCAACCAAAGCGCUGCGCUGGAUACUGUCUGACUGGAAUUCGGAAGGGGUGACUGGAAUUCCCGGUGUAACGGUGAAAUGUGUAGAUAUCGGGAGGAACACCUGUGGCGAAGGCGGGUCACUGGUCCGACAUUGACGCUGAGACGCGAAAGCGUGGGGAGCAAACAGGAUUAGAUACCCUAGUAGUCC